rnacentral:tRNA from 1 species
GGCUUAAUGUUUUGGAAACAAAUGACCUUGAAAGUCUACAUAAGACGUUCGACUC